rnacentral:rRNA from 1 species
AGACCCGAAACCCGGUGAUCUAGCCAUGGGCAGGUUGAAGGUUGGGUAACACUAACUGGAGGACCGAACCGACUAAUGUUGAAAAAUUAGCGGAUGACUUGUGGCUGGGGGUGAAAGGCCAAUCAAACCGGGAGAUAGCUGGUUCUCCCCGAAAGCUAUUUAGGUAGCGCCUCGUGAAUUCAUCUCCGGGGGUAGAGCACUGUUUCGGCAAGGGGGUCAUCCCGACUUACCAACCCGAUGCAAACUGCGAAUACCGGAGAAUGUUAUCACGGGAGACACACGGCGGGUGCUAACGUCCGUCGUGAAGAGGGAAACAACCCAGACCGCCAGCUAAGGUCCCAAAGUCAUGGUUAAGUGGGAAACGAUGUGGGAAGGCCCAGACAGCCAGGAUGUUGGCUUAGAAGCAGCCAUCAUUUAAAGAAAGCGUAAUAGCUCACUGGUCGAGUCGGCCUGCGCGGAAGAUGUAACGGGGCUAAACCAUGCACCGAAGCUGCGGCAGCGACACUGUGUGUUGUUGGGUAGGGGAGCGUUCUGUAAGCCUGUGAAGGUGUACUGUGAG